CUCAAACACAGGUUCCAAGGCUGAAAAAGUAAUGUAAAGGAGUUGUUAGUUGAUAAAUGGUGCUGCUAGCUCCCUCAAAGUGCAUUCCUCGGUCAUUUACUCUAUUUCUGCUUCUCUUUUGGCGACUGCACUGUUGUCUGCAAAGAUAGUGUCCUGCUGACACGUUUGUCUCUUUAGCUAGGUCUGUUUCUUUAAACCUUUUGCAGUUUUCUCAAUUUCCAGAUUGUAAAGAGAGGUUCUUCACAAUCGGUCCUGAUCAUAAAAAGGAAAA
rnacentral:lncRNA from 1 species